rnacentral:lncRNA from 1 species
CUGUGAUUGGGAGUGGUCUUAUGAUAUCUCUAUACGUGUUGAAUGGAUGGAUUUAAGAAAGCUCUACUUCCACAAAGUUCAUGAAAAUUUUUUAUAAAAGACAUAGAAAUUGUGUAUACUACAUCAUAGUCCUAUUGCUUGGUUGUAGAAAUCUUGAGGGUGGAAAACUUAUGGUUGUGCUUGACCAUUCUUUGUGUUUGUUUUCUAAGCAUCAACAUCAUCAGAAGCACUUAAUUUAAAAAUACUUUGUUUAUAGCAAGUAGUAAAAGCUCAAUAUGAAAACCAAGUACAUGUAAGGUGUAUUUCAAUAUCAGAAUAAUUUAUUUUUAGGAAGGC